GUUAUUGUUUGAGCCAUUUGAUGUGCUGUAAUGUGAUCAGCUAUAAUUCUUCAAAAAAUUCUGUUCUCUCAAUUUUCAUCAUUUGGUGCAAAGAAAAAAAUUGCCAUAAACACAACACAUCACAUAAAAUAUAGAUUAGUCAGAAAAUAUUUGCAUGGGAUUUCCACUGAAUUUCAUAGCUACAGAUACAAUGUCAUAUUACAUUUCUCCAACCCUCUUUGAAAUGUCCUACAAAAAAUCCUAGAAUAUUUUAAACAUAUUUUUAAGCAUUUAGACAGGUUCUUAAGCAACUUAGGAUGUUCAAUUGACUACUACAACUAUCACUGAUAAAUAUGGUGCCAUAGCAGUGUAAACCUUAUAGCUGUACAAAAAAUGGGGUAAUAUACAUAUUUUGCAUAUGCAUUCUCAUCUCAUCUGUGUUUACUAUAAAAGAGCAAAGCUUGAGAACUCAAUGUGGAGCAUAAUGUAUAUUUUAAGGCAAAUGUUUCUCAAUGGCUGAGCAGUGAGGAUUGGAGAUUUAUGCAGAUUUACUAUAUGUGCUUUCCCAAAUGUCAAAUGCAGCUUGUCAUAAAAUCAUAAAAGCGCAUAUGAUAAUUAUACUGGCAUAUGGCCAGAUAAAAUCAAAAUGGAAAUAAUUUUGUCCAAGUUUAUAAAAAUAAUCAUUCAGAGAUGCAGAAUUCUUGCUGUUUGUCCUGUUGAAGGGAGGGAGAACAAUGUCCAGAGUGAAAAAUAAUGAAUUUAUGCCUGAUUAUCUGGGGAAUUUAUCCUUUAACUUGACAAGAACCUAGUUUGACCCCUUUAUUUUUUGUCCAAUGAGGUCAUUGGGACUUGUCCUGGCAGUUUCUUCGAAUGCCAGGAGGAUCGUGCUUGACAUACCAGUACUGUCAGCUGGAAAUUACUCUCAGGAGAAGAUAUCAGGAGGAAUAGGAAUGCACUUUUUUCUUUUUAUUCUGACAUGGAAAAGUUUCUUUCCCACUGGACAAGACUGGAAAAGGUCAAAAGAGAAGCAGAAUGAUGACUCAGGAUUUCAGCCCUCACAACCUGCAACACCUUUAUUAAAUCUAGUUUGAUUGCUGACAGUGCUCUUCUCUAAUGCAUUCUUUCUUUUUCAGUUGCAGUCAAUUAUUUAUGAGAUCAUUCUGGCAUACAAUUUGAGUUUUAUAUUUGCUAUUUAAUGAACUUUUGAAAAAAAUACUAUAUAGGAUUUAAAAUUACUAUAUAUGAUUUAUUAUGCCAUGCACUCAUAUCUAUCAUCUGCUGAUGUCCUUGUGUAAGACUAAAGAAAAGUAGGCAGCUACACACCACACAAUUAUGCAUUCCAAAUUCAUGUUAUCCUUCCUCGAUAUUUUCAAGAAAAUACUUCCAUUUUCUUAGUCACAUUUCCAAGUCAAAUUUGGGAUAAGUGGGUGAUUUUGUGUGUAUAGGUUAAGUGCCUAUGAAAUCAAAUACUCAGAAAGCACCUGCUAUCUAAAAUCAAGCAAUCUUAAACAGAUUUCUAUUUUUUGUAGUAAUCUUCUUCUCCCUAAAGAAAGCUUUUUAAAACUGAAUCCAUCAUCUGCUCCUGGUUGUGUAUUGGUGCCCCAAUAUCAAAUGGGAUUAAAAUGGAGGAUAAUUGCUUUUAAAUAAAAAUGACAUUGAACCUG